rnacentral:rRNA from 1 species
UACGUAGGGCGCAAGCGUUGUUCGGAUUCAUUGGGCGUAAAGGGUGCGUAGGUGGCGUCGUAAGUCGGGUGUGAAAUUUCGGAGCUUAACUCCGAAACUGCAUUCGAUACUGCGGUGCUUGAGGACUGGAGAGGAGACUGGAAUUUACGGUGUAGCAGUGAAAUGCGUAGAGAUCGUAAGGAAGACCAGUGGCGAAGGCGGGUCUCUGGACAGUUCCUGACACUGAGGCACGAAGGCCAGGGGAGCAAACGGG